GACGAACCGUCCAAACGUUAUUCGGAAUCACUGGGCUUAAAGGGUGCGUAGGCGGCCCGCUAAGUUGGGUGUGAAAUCCCUCGGCUCAACCGAGGAACUGCGCCCAAAACUGACGGGCUCGAGGGAGACAGAGGUGAGCGGAACUUGCGGUGGAGCGGUGAAAUGCGUUGAUAUCGCAAGGAACACCAGUGGCGAAAGCGGCUCACUGGGUCUCUUCUGACGCUGAGGCACGAAAGCUAGGGGAGCGAACGGGAUUAGAUACCCGCGUA
rnacentral:rRNA from 1 species